rnacentral:rRNA from 1 species
GAUAAACGCUGGCGGCGUGCAUGAGACAUGCAAGUCGAACGAAGGAUCGGGCUUGCUCGAUCCUUAGUGGCGGACGGCUGAGUAACGCGUAGGUGACCUACCCCGAAGUGGGGAAUAACUGCCCGAAAGGGUGGCUAAUACCGCAUGUGGUCGCACGUUCAUUCGUGCGAGUAAAGCCGCAAGGCGCUUCGGGAGGGGCCUGCGUCCGAUUAGCUCGUUGGUGGGGUAAUGGCUUACCAAGGCGACGAUCGGUAGGUGGUCUGAGAGGACGAUCACCCAGACUGGGACUGAGACACGGCCCAGACUCCUACGGGAGGCAGCAGUCGGGAAUUUUGCUCAAUGGGGGAAACCCUGAAGCAGAAACGCCGCGUGAGGGAUGAAGGCCUUCGGGUUGUAAACCUCUUUUGUCAGGGACGAUGAUGACGGUACCUGGCGAAUAAGCCACGGCUAACUACGUG